rnacentral:rRNA from 1 species
GAUGAACGCUGGCGGCGUGCUUAACACAUGCAAGUCGAACGGUGAAGCCAAGCUUGCUUGGUGGAUCAGUGGCGAACGGGUGAGUAACACGUGAGCAACCUGCCCUGGACUCUGGGAUAAGCGCUGGAAACGGCGUCUAAUACUGGAUAUGAGCCCCUAUCGCAUGGUGGGGGUUGGAAAGAUUUUUUGGUCUGGGAUGGGCUCGCGGCCUAUCAGCUUGUUGGUGAGGUAAUGGCUCACCAAGGCGUCGACGGGUAGCCGGCCUGAGAGGGUGACCGGCCACACUGGGACUGAGACACGGCCCAGACUCCUACGGGAGGCAGCAGUGGGGAAUAUUGCACAAUGGGCGAAAGCCUGAUGCAGCAACGCCGCGUGAGGGAUGACGGCCUUCGGGUUGUAAACCUCUUUUAGCAGGGAAGAAGCGAAAGUGACGGUACCUGCAGAAAAAGCGCCGGCUAACUACGUGCCAGCAGCCGCGGUAAUACGUAGGGCGCAAGCGUUAUCCGGAAUUAUUGGGCGUAAAGAGCUCGUANGCGGUUUGUCGCGUCUGCUGUGAAAUCCCGAGGCUCAACCUCGGGCCUGCAGUGGGUACGGGCAGACUAGAGUGCGGUAGGGGAGAUUGGAAUUCCUGGUGUAGCGGUGGAAUGCGCAGAUAUCAGGAGGAACACCGAUGGCGAAGGCAGAUCUCUGGGCCGUAACUGACGCUGAGGAGCGAAAGGGUGGGGAGCAAACAGGCUUANAUACCCUGGUAGUCCACCCCGUAAACGUUGGGAACUAGUUGUGGGGACCAUUCCACGGUUUCCGUGACGCAGCUAACGCAUUAAGUUCCCCGCCUGGGGAGUACGGCCGCAAGGCUAAAACUCAAAGGAAUUGACGGGGACCCGCACAAGCGGCGGAGCAUGCGGAUUAAUUCGAUGCAACGCGAANAACCUUACCAAGGCUUGACAUAUACNAGAACGGGCCANAAAUGGUCAACUCUUUGGACACUCGUAAACAGGUGGUGCAUGGUUGUCGUCAGCUCGUGUCGUGAGAUGUUGGGUUAAGUCCCGCAACGAGCGCAACCCUCGUUCUAUGUUGCCAGCACGUAAUGGUGGGAACUC